rnacentral:misc_RNA from 1 species
AAGUCGUAACAAGGUAACCGUAGGUGAACCUGCGGUUGGAUCAUUAAAGAAUUUUAAAGGUUUUCGAACCUUUAGCUUUAAAUUGGGUUAGUUCUUCUACUCGAAGACUAACUUCAAACCUUGUGUGAAUUGUUAACUGUCUUUGGUGAGAAUGAGAUUAAACUUUCGGGUUUAUGAUCACUCACCAAAAUUAUUUUAAAACAUUGUUUUAUUAAAAGUCUUGAAAUCAAUUUUAUUAAUUGAAAACAACUUUUGACAACGGAUCUCUUGGCUCUC